GUACACUCCUGCGGGAGGCAGCAGUGGGGAAUUUUGGACAAUGGGCGAAAGCCUGAUCCAGCCAUGCCGCGUGCAGGAUGAAGGCCUUCGGGUUGUAAACUGCUUUUGUACGGAACGAAACGGCCUUUUCUAAUAAAGAGGGCUAAUGACGGUACCGUAAGAAUAAGCACCGGCUAACUACGUGCCAGCAGCCGCGGUAAUACGUAGGGUGCAAGCGUUAAUCGGAAUUACUGGGCGUAAAGCGUGCGCAGGCGGUUAUGUAAGACAGUUGUGAAAUCCCCGGGCUCAACCUGGGAACUGCAUCUGUGACUGCAUAGCUAGAGUACGGUAGAGGGGGAUGGAAUUCCGCGUGUAGCAGUGAAAUGCGUAGAUAUGCGGAGGAACACCGAUGGCGAAGGCAAUCCCCUGGACCUGUACUGACGCUCAUGCACGAAAGCGUGGGGAGCAAACAGGAUUAGAAACCCCUGUAGUCCCAUG
rnacentral:rRNA from 1 species